rnacentral:rRNA from 1 species
UGGGGAAUAUUGCGCAAUGGGCGAAAGCCUGACGCAGCCACGCCGCGUGAGCGAUGAAGGUUUUCGGAUCGUAAAGCUCUGUGGGGGGAGAAGAAAAAGGCAGUUGAAGAGGCUGUCAUGACGGUAUCCCCUUAGCAAGCACCGGCUAACUCCGUGCCAGCAGCCGCGGUAAUACGGAGGGUGCAAACGUUGCUCGGAAUCAUUGGGCGUAAAGCGCGCGUAGGCGGUUUGUCAAGUUGGAUGUGAAAGCCCUGGGCUCAACCCGGGAAGUGCAUCCAAAACUGUCAGACUUGAAUCUCGGAGGGGGUCAGAGAAUUCCCGGUGUAGAGGUGAAAUUCGUAGAUAUCGGGAGGAAUACCAGUGGCGAAGGCGCUGACCUGGACGAAGAUUGACGCUGAGGCGCGAAAGCGUGGGUAGCAAACAGGAUUAGAUACCCCCGUAGUCC